rnacentral:rRNA from 1 species
UAAUACGUAGGGUGCGAGCGUUAAUCGGAAUUACUGGGCGUAAAGCGUGCGCAGGCGGUUCUGCAAGUCAGAUGUGAAAUCCCCGGGCUUAACCUGGGAACUGCGUUUGAAACUACGGAGCUAGAGUGCGGCAGAGGGGGGUGGAAUUCCACGUGUAGCAGUGAAAUGCGUAGAUAUGUGGAGGAACACCGAUGGCGAAGGCAGCCCCCUGGGCCGACACUGACGCUCAGGCACGAAAGCGUGGGGAGCAAACAGGAUUAGAUACCCUGGUAGUCCACGCCCUAAACUAUGUCAACUAGUUGUCGGGGAAGCAAUUCCUUGGUAACGAAGCUAACGCGUGAAGUUGACCGCCUGGGGAGUACGGUCGCAAGAUUAAAA